rnacentral:ncRNA from 1 species
UUUUUUUCGCUAAGGAGCUCCUAUGCGAAAACUGACGGUUGCUCUGAUAGUUAGCCUGAUAGGGUUGAUUGCACUGUUUGUGUCGACCACGGCUGCUACAUGUGGCGGGACUUCUGGUUUUGGCUAUUCGAACCUAAAGUAACCGCCUCGCCCGAAUGCGCUGAGCGCGCACAAAAAAAGCCUUCAUCUGGUGAUGAAGGCUUUUUACU